rnacentral:rRNA from 1 species
AACGAACGCUGGCGGCGCGCCUAAUACAUGCAAGUCGAGCGAGAAGACGUAGCAAUACGUUUGUAAAGCGGCGAACGGGUGAGGAAUACAUGGGUAACCUACCCUAGAGUGGGGAAUAACUAGCCGAAAGGUUAGCUAAUACCGCGUACGCUCCUUGGACUUCGGUUCAGGGAGGAAAGCGAUACCGAGGGUAUCGCGCUCUUGGAUGGGCUCAUGUCCUAUCAGCUUGUUGGGAGGUAACGGCUCACCAAGGCUUCAACGGGUAGCUGGUCUGAGAGGACGAUCAGCCACACUGGCACUGCGACACGGGCCAGACUCCUACGGGAGGCAGCAGUGAGGAAUAUUCCACAAUGGGCGAAAGCCUGAUGGAGCGACGCCGCGUGAA